rnacentral:lncRNA from 1 species
GGUUAAUUUGCGGCCAUGGGGAAACCUGAUGCUAAUUAGGUCUGAGGAAUGCCCCACUGUGGCAUGGUGGAGCUGCAGCCCUCAGAGUGUGUCAGCCAUGGAGAGAGCCAGCAGCCAGCAGCCCGCUCCGGAUGCCUCAACUCCUCCAUAGUCACAGCCGGGACUGUCUCAGCGGACGAGGAGGUGUGGAGGAUGACCACCAAGUUUGGUGGAGUCACAGGAGAACGUCUGUCUGGGGAGAGGAAGAAAUAACCCCCUCAUUUGGGACUCCCGACAUUAUUCUUUUGCAGACCCCAGAAUAGAUGCGAGAUGUUUUCAGCAGCUUCUGCGCUGCUGCUCUUCUGCGCUGCAGCCGCAGAGAUGUGCAGGGGCGCGCACUGCUACGACCCCAGACCGUGCACCGGAGCGCACUGCCCGGGCGCCAGAUCCGUCAGACCACCGCGACAGUUUAGCCCCUCCACCAGGGGCAAAGCCGCACAGGCGGAGGGGGAUCAGGCGCGCUCGGACCAGAGCUCCACGCGGACGCAAGCGGAAAGUUUCCCAGCACUCCACGGGGGGCACGGAGACGGAGGCGCGCGGAGAAGGUGCGGCGACGCGGACUGCCCCCCCGCCACGACACAGUCCUUUAACGAGACCCGCCAGUGCCGAGGGGUCGAGUGCAGGCUGCCGCAGAGCCUACGAGCAAAAGCGCUGGGAAGGUUUUGUGUUGGAGACGGAUGUCCUGCUGCGCCGGAGGAGAGCGUCCCCAGGACUGCGGGGCAGCUCCCCCCUGUCCAUGUGUCAGACAGAGCCGCGCAGUUCCUGGCAGAUUUUCCAGACUUUGGACAUUCAUCACCGGAACUCGGCGGAGCCUCUCUGGGCGUCCAGCUCACGUGUGACAUAAAACCAGGAGAGAAUGAAGUCCCUUCAGAGGAUGCCCUCAUCUUGCACCUCCAGCUCUCCAAAGGUCAGGAGAAGCUGGUGGAAGCCCUGAGAGCCCAGCAGGUGAUCAUCCGCGACCUGCAGCAGAAGCUUGCUGACCAACAGGAGGCGCUGCUUUCCCAGCAGCGUCAGAUCCUGGACCAGCAGCGGCUCAUGUACGAGCAGAUGGGCGCCGUCAAGUCCCAGUACGGCCUCCUCUCAGACACCUUCAAGCAGGUCUCCUUCCAGGGCCUGCAGGAUGAGCUGCAGAGCUACUUCGAGAGCCACCUGGCGGGACUGCAGAGCCAGGCUCGCAGCCACCUUCGCAAAUCCUACGUCAUCCACCGGACGGACGCGGACUCCAAGGUGAUGGAUGCUGUUGGAGAAGCUCACCUUCCCCAGCCCCUGCUGGGCUGUGCCGCCCCGUGUGGACCAGAGGAGUUCUGCGACUUUCAGAGGAGCCCGCCUCAGUGUGAGAAGUGCACUUUGUGCCCACCGGGGUUCUUCCUCAUCUCCCAGUGCUCUCCGACGGCAGACAGAUUGUGUCAGGACAGAGAUGAAUGCCUGGAACUGCCAAACAUCUGUGGAGAGCGCGUGAAGUGCCUCAACACUCCUGGGGGAUUCAGGUGUCUUGGAGUUACAGAUAGAGAAGCUCUGCUGGGUUUCUGUGGUCGCGAGUACUUCUACAACCAGGAGCUGCAGGAGUGCCAGGCCUGCUCUGACUGUGACGGAGAGCCCGUCGCUGCUCCCUGCAAAGCCGUCAGUGACUCGGUGUGCGGCCAUCUGUCCGGGAGCCUUCUGUCCCAGUCCUGGUCAGGAAAUGUGGCAGGUCCUUCUGCCGGGACAUCUGGAACCCACAUCUUCUCUGGCCUACAGCUGAACGUACGAGGGAAGGAGCGGAGCGAUCUUCUUUCCAACCAGGCGGGGCUGGUGACCUUCCUGCAGCACGGUCUUGUGUGGUUGGAUCACAACUUUGCAAUAAAGCACAGCUGCAGGAACUUCCUUCAGGCGGGGAUGAGGAUCAAUGGGAGCCAGGCAGAGGAGGGUCAGGAUCUCAGCGGCAUUCGGAUCGAACAGCCGGAUGGGAAGUACUUCCAAGGGAUAAGCGUCAGCACGGGGGUGGAGGUGGAGCCCAACCAGACCCUCACACUGCUGCUGAAGAGUCCAAGCCAACACUGCAAUCAGAGCAAGGACCUUCACGUCUUUGAUGUCAGCGCUCCAUCUUUGAGUGUGCUCUGGUUGUCUCACGACACCGGCGCCGUGGCCAUGACAGCUCAGAUGUCUCUGCUGGCGCACUACCAGACCAGCUACCGCCCGACGUUCAGCAUGACCUCCGUGUCUGACCCCUACGUGAUCAGCCUGACCCAUGACGGCAGAGCCGUCCGAUUCACAGAAAGCGGAGUGGUGAAGUUUGUCCUCCAGCAGGCGCUCUACUCGAUGGGUCACACCUGUGUUCGAGAGGGUUUCUCCCUCAUCGCCUACACUUCCCAGAACGGAACGGGCCAAGAAGUGAUGCGGGCUUUCAAGACGGGCGUGAACUACAGAGACACCUCCAUCACGCUGUCCGGCGCCGUCAGCGUGGAGAGCAGAGACACGCUCAGCUUUGAGAUCACUUCCCCGUCUCAGUGCAACAUCCGUUACUUUGGAGACAGCACCGGCAUCAGCAUGCUGAACCUCAUCUGGAUUCCCUCCGCGGUGGCGUCAGCCUUGACAGCCACGGUGUCUAGAACCGGUCUUCCUUCAGGCGCCGUCAGGAAUAAGCCGCUGCUCUUCCAGCAGAUCAGCCCCGACACUCCCCAGGUCCACCUGGCCCACACGGGCCAGCCAGGAAGCCAGAAGAACUUCAUAUUCCAGGAGAGAGGGACAGCAAAUGUUGCCCUGAACCUCAAGCUGAUCCAUUCGUGUAAUAUCAUUAAGCUGACGUUGCAUCAGACUGGGGGGCAGCAGUCGGGACCCGUGGCUCAGCAGGUCUCCGGAUCCAAGCCUGAGGGGAGCGAGUGGGCCAGUGUUGGACUCAGAGCUUCACUUCAGGUCCAGAACGGGACGGCUCUUUACGUUACUCUGGACUGCAUUCGAGGACGGGUCAACCACAUAUCACAUAAGGGCGGCACCAACGUGUCCAUCCUUUGGGUUGCUUUGUGAUCCAACACAACAGAACUGUUCCACACAUUUUAACCUACUAUGCAAACUUUAAUGUUCCAUUAGAUGAAAAACUGAUGCAUAAAUCACAAAUUCUAUUUUUAACGUGUGCUACAUUUCCUGUUCGGACCUGCAUCCUUAAACAUGGAGGUGAACUCCAAGUACUACUUGUACUUCAGGUACUUCAGCUGGUUGAGUAGUGACCAAGUGAUCUGUGAAUGUGUGAAUUUUUGCCAUCUUAAAUAUGAAUGAGUUAUUUAAAAAGCCUCUUUGUUCAUUCCUGCAGGUAUUUAACAUUUAUUAUAUGUAAAAUGAUUUUGUAUUGUGACAUUAGAACUCAAAAGGAGUUGUUGGACAUUUUAGAAAAACAGUUUUCCUUUUUUAGAUGAAGGUUAGUAAGCUGCAUGAGUAAAUGUAACUACACUAUAAAUGCCAUGUUGCCAAAACUACAAAAUAUCCUAAAAAACUUUGAAUAGAAAUCCUAUUUUAUUACUGCAUCUAAAUAAAGAAAUUUACAUAUUUCGAUUCCCACAAACAAUAAAUAAUAAGGUUUAGCAGUGUAUGCGUGGCCGAUGGCAUUUGUUGCAAUCUAUACAUUCAUCACAAGAUGUACUUAUCUUGACUGUAAUUUAACAUAAAGGCCUUUACAGCAGUGAUAGCAGACCGGUAGGCACAGCUCCGUAAGACGGUCAGUACCUGAAGAAAUAAAAUAAACUUGACCUAUGUUGUUUUUUUCUUUUUUAUUUAUUAUCUGAUUCUGAAGGAAGUUUUAUUUUGAAAAACAACUGGAUUCUCCACCGCAUCCAAUUCAUUCUUGAUGCAUGUCAAGUCGCUCGGUCACAUGUCUAGAAUCCAUGCGCUCCUUUCUGAAAGUGUCUAUGAUGAUGAUAAAGUUAAAACCCCCAAGCUAGAAAAGUUUUAAAAAAAAGUUUAUUUUGGCAGAAAAGAUCAUAACAGGAAACGGAAGAAGAGCUUUUGACUUCAAAAUAAAAGAGAGCUUCAUUUAACAGACCAAAACCAGGAGUCUUUCCUCAUAAUUUGGAUUUAUUGUGACAGUUAUUCCCACAGAUCAGAAUAAUAAUGCAGAAUAUUCAGCAACCGGCUGUCUAAUGUUACAAGGAUGCUGCUAAUAAAGUUGCUAAAAUGGUGGAUUCGUGCUUAUUUUUUCAAUAUUUAGGAAAUACCCAUUUUUUUUUUUGUAUUUAUACAUUGCACUGUGAAAGUUGGACAAGGCUGUAACUAAAUUUUCAGCUUCCACUUUGAAAGUAAUAAAUUAAG